UGGACUGUCAUUAUCUUUCUGUGCUAUAGAUUGUCUCACUUUUUUUCUUUUCUCUAUUUUAUGUCAGUCUUCAAAAUAUUGAUACAAGAUAAACAUAAUGUCCCUAUGAUGUUAUGUCAUCAAUCGUCUUAAUAUAUAUGUAGCACAGAAGGGGAGGGCCAAAAGUGACUUGUAAAAUUCAAAAGAUGUAUUGAUUAAUACCUUAACCAUAAUUAGUAGAGAGAUUGUCAAAUUAAUCAAAAUAACUUUUUUUAUUACAAAAAAAAAAGUCAGAUAUGAGCUGUAUGAUGUUGUUGGUACAAGUUUUUGGUCACAUAGAAAUGGGCCACGAUGACAUUAAUAGUGACUCAAUUCAUACAUAAUGUUUCAAAAUAUAAUAGAAGAACAGUGACGUGUGAUCACUAUGAUUAUAAAUUAUAUGAUAUCUGAUUUAGUUUUGCUUCAAACUCUAAUCUUUAUAUCUAUAUCUGAUUUUUGAAGUGAAAAGAAAAGAAAAAAUGGAUGCUCCGGGGGGAUAUGAAGAACAAUCGUACCUUGGACAUGUUCGAAAGCGGCAUGAGGAGAAAGGCUUUCUUUACGCUUGUUUGUUUGCCUUGUGUUGCUGCUUCUGCUGCUUCGAGACUUGCGAGUGUUGUUUUGAUGUUCUUUGCUGUGGCUGCUGUUGAUGAAGAUUAAUCAAGAAUAAAUUAUGAUCUCACUUUUAUGUAUGUAAAUUAUAUGAAUAAGGGGGUGUCCAAUUUCAUGAUUUUCUUUCUGCAUUGAUUUUUCAUAUUUGGAUUGUUUGUAACGUUAAAAGAAGUAAAGAAAAUAUGGUACUGUUCACUUCACAGCAGUGAAUGAUGAUGAUGAUGAGUCUAUCUUCUUCUUUUUAAUUUUACCUUUGUGUGUUAUUGAUGAAUAAAAAGAAAUAUAAUGAUAUAGUGCUUUUAAUGA